rnacentral:rRNA from 1 species
AUACGGAGGAUGCAAGCGUUAUCCGGAUUUAUUGGGUUUAAAGGGUGCGCAGGCGGCCAUUUAAGUCAGCGGUUAAAUCGUGGGGCUCAACCCCAUUCUGCCGUUGAUACUGGGUGGCUUGAUUGCGGUCGAGGUUGGCGGAAUUCGUUGUGUAGCGGUGAAAUGCAUAGAUAUGACGAAGAACACCGAUUGCGUAGGCAGCUGACCAGACCGCAAAUGACGCUCAUGCACGAAAGUGCGGGGAUCGAACAGGAUUAGAUACCCUGGUAGUCCGCACAGUAAACGAUGAAUACUUGUUUUCGGCGAUAUAAUGUCGGAGGCAAAGCGAAAGCGAUAAGUAUUCCACCUGGGGAGUACGCCGGCAACGGUGAAACUCAAAUGAAUUGACGGGG